UCGGGGAUCGUCUAACGGCAGGACUGCAGACUCUGACUCUGCCUAUCUAGGUUCGAGUCCUAGUCCCCGAG
rnacentral:tRNA from 1 species